AAAAAGAAAAAACAUGCAAUAUCUGCAAUACAGCAAGAAAAAGAAAAAAAAGGGGGUGAGCAUGUGUCCGAAUUGCAUUAAAAAUGCAGGUCACGGGCUAGUCCCGCCCGCCUCUGUGGAUAGAAACGGAUAGAAAAAGCCAUCUUCUUUAAAGACCCACUUCAAGGAAAAUAGUGUUUUUGUAGUAUUAUUAUUUUAAUGGAGGCCAAAUAUACAAAAAGUAAGAUAAAACAUGCAUUUCUGAGUAUUCUUGUUUUCCAAUUGCUGUGAAUCUAGAGCAGACGGAAAAAUGCGUUUGAAAAAAGUCUGUAGUCGUUAUGUAAAAACUAAGCUUGAGCUUUUUGAGUCAAAAUCAUGAACAUUUCUGUGCGUAUUUACUUGCAGAGUGCAGUGUUUUUCUACUUUCACAACACCCCAAAGUGAUAUAAACAACCCGAUGUCUCUCUGUUUUAGGACAUUUGAAGAGCAAAAGUUUGUCCAGUCAAGUUUAAAAAAGUAACUGGACCCAAAUCCAUUCACCAAGUCAUCACCGCAGAAUUCAGCAGAUCUUCAGCAGAUUUUCUGUUCCAGUCCGAGGAUCAACGGGAAGCCAAAGUCAGACAAAGGAUCCGUUGAUUGACGGGUCUGUGGGAGGCAGCAGCUGCUGGACACAACAUCUGAUUUGUGGGUUUCCCGUCUGACCUCUGAAGAUCUUAAAACGCUCCACAUCACUGAGAAAACUCUGGACUCUCGGGAGGCCAGCCUACACAAACACAAUGUUUUCGGUGCUAAUAUUCACAAAAAAAACAAACUUAAUUGCAUCUGCAAACACCGGCCAGCUUCUCUACGGAGCCUGAAGCUGAGGCGACUCCCACAUGACUCAAUAUGACAAACACACUCGUAAAAUCCAGUUUCUGGAAGCACUGCCUGCUUCUCUGCAUUUAUGCCUCAUAAAAUAGUAGAAUCACAAACUUUACAAAAUUGCAUUUCCAUGCAAAAUUAUCUCCACGUCUAAUGAAGAAUGAUUGCCGCCUCCUGAUAGUAUCUCUGAGUGAAGCCGCUUCUCAUCGCACUGAUCCUGUGAAAACUGCUCAUCCUGCAGGCUGACAAAAAUAUUCUUUUAUUGGCUUUGUUUUCUAUUGGAACUGUCUCUUUAAAUAAUGCAUUAGUCUCAAAUUUUAGAAUUAAAAAUGAGCAAAAAAUGUCAAAAUCAAAAGUCUGGAUGACGAUUUUUACCACUUAAGUCAGAAAAUAACCCUGCACAAAGUGUCCUGAGUUUGAAAUUUCAUUUUGAAGUUAUUUUCAAUCAUAUUUUUCAUCCUUUGGAAAACAAAACCCUAUAAGUCUGGGUUUUCAUUUAGCUAACUUCUAGCAUGUUUAGACGGAUGUACUGGACCAGCAACUCCAAACGAGAAGAAAAGUAGAAACUAGAAACUGGAAAUAAACCACAGCUGUCAGGGGACGGAGGGAAAAUGUAAAAAGCACAUGAAAAGAAAAACACAAUAAAAGAAUUAAAUGGAUAAAAGAUGCUCAGUGGGAAUCUGUUGGAGGUCAGACUGAACAGAAAUCUCAGCAAAAGCGUUUUGUGAUUGGUGAAACCUCAGACAGCUACAUUCAAUAAAUCGAUCAUUUCCUUCUUCAAACGUUUGUCACAUAAAUUUAAAACUGGCUUAAACCUAUGAACCCUUUUUAUUUUAUUCAAAUCCCAGCAAGUACAGAAAAAACUCACAAUUUUGGGAGAGCCCUCCAUGAGAGAAAUGCAAUUUUGAGCUUGAUUUGAAUGAAAUUUGUCCUCCAUCAUCA